rnacentral:rRNA from 1 species
AAAACAUAGCCAUUAGGAGAUAUUAUUGGUUAGACCUGCCCAAUGUUGUUUAAAUGAAUGGCCGCGGUACCCUGACCGUGCUAAGGUAGCGUAAUCAGUUGGCUUUUAAAUGGAGUCAGGUAUGAAUGGAAAAACUGGGUUAAGCUGUCUCCUUACUAAUUAUUUGAAUUUACUAUAUAAGUGAAAAAGCUUAUUGUAAAAAAAGGGACGAGAAGACCCUUAGAAUUUUUUUUAAUUGAGAUUUUAUCUUUUAUGAUUUUGUUGGGGCGACAGAGAAAUAGUUAAAACUUUCUUAAAAUUUACACGCCGAUUUUUUUAAGUUAGGAUAAAUUACCUGAGGGAUAACAGCAUUAUUUUAAAGUUAAGUUUGUGACCUCGAUGUUGGACUAGGAAACUAACAGGCUAGCCGUUUGUUAUGUGGGUUCUGUUCGAACUAUUAUUCCU